GCUGGUGGAGGUGAGUUCCUCAGCCCAGAUUGUGAGAGGGCACAGGCCAGGCCGAGGGACCCCACUAGUGCACG
rnacentral:pre_miRNA from 1 species